CAUCCUUCUCAGGGACUGGUACAAUGUUGGCAACCCAUUCCGGGUACCGAGCGACAGCCAAAAACCCAACGUCAAAUUGUUUCUUUACCUCUUCUUUUAUCUUCAACGAUGUCUCGGGCUUCAUCCUUCUCAGUUUCUGCUUUACCGGGGGACACUCGGGAUUUAGGGGUAAUCGGUGUUGUAAAAUGUCAGAACUCAAACUGGGCAUAUCUUGGUAGGACCAAGCAAAGAUGUCUUGGUAAUCUCUUAG
rnacentral:misc_RNA from 1 species